rnacentral:lncRNA from 1 species
CCAUGCCUAAGAACAGACGUUUAAGCCAAGGAGAUAAGGCCACGUGCCACUUCAUCCAAGGGCUCCCAUUCCAUAUGUAUAACUAUAAAUACCCCCGUUGUAUAAUGUCAAAAGGCUAAUGCAAGAAUCAAUACUAAAAACUACAUUUUACUCAACUCUCUCCCAUUUACUAGCAAUACACAAAUCGAGUUUAUACAUUUUUGCGUAUACAUCUACGAGCACCGGUUGGUAAUUAUUGUACAAUCGGAUUACGAACAACCCGUCGGAUCCCGAACGUUACCGUCCCGCGUCGUUGGGCUACUCCC